AAUGAACGCUGGCGGCAUGCCUUACACAUGCAGGUCGAACGGCAGCAUGACCUAGCUUGCUAGGUUGAUGGCGAGUGGCGAACGGGUGAGUAAUGCAUCGGAACGUGCCUUUUAGUGGGGGAUAACGUAGCGAAAGUUACGCUAAUACCGCAUAUUCUCUGAGGAGGAAAGCAGGGGACCUUCGGGCCUUGCGCUAGAAGAGCGGCCGAUGUCGGAUUAGCUAGUUGGUGAGGUAAAGGCUCACCAAGGCAACGAUCCGUAGCGGGUCUGAGAGGAUGAUCCGCCACACUGGGACUGAGACACGGCCCAGACUCCUACGGGAGGCAGCAGUGGGGAAUUUUGGACAAUGGGCGCAAGCCUGAUCCAGCCAUGCCGCGUGAGUGAAGAAGGCCUUCGGGUUGUAAAGCUCUUUCGGCUGGGAAGAAAUCGCACCCUCUAAUACAGGGUGUGGAUGACGGUACCAGCAUAAGAAGCACCGGCUAACUACGUG
rnacentral:rRNA from 1 species